rfam:Ornithorhynchus anatinus chromosome 3, whole genome shotgun sequence.
CCCCUCUCAGGAUCGCACCUGGAGAGUUUCCAAUAUUCUACCAGUUUCGGCUAUGAGAGGGAAAGUCAAGCAGAGGUAUACCCAUUCUAUUCCUUGCUUGGACAGGGGCUAGCAAGUGGAAAGCGAUCUGCUACAAGU